AAUCCAUGCAUUUGACAUUUUCACAUCAAAUCCUUAAAUUUUUCCUAUGCCUCGUAUAAGCUUUCAUAUUCCAACUAUUUGAAUGAGGUAAGAUCAUUUUAGAGUUU